rnacentral:lncRNA from 1 species
CAUAGGGUAGUUCACCAUUCUCAUCACAUUCUGCACAAGCCGGGCACAAGAUGGAGGAGUGUCCGAGCAAACCGCACGAGAAGUGGAAGAGAGGGAGGCGUUCAUACAUCACUGCAUAAGUGUAGGUGGUCUUCAGUUUGGCAGAGGAUACCGUCACAUAACACACCAAGGGCUCUUUGACGAUAAUUUCUGUUGGAAAUAUGUCCUAUAG